AGUAAUAUGCCUGAUUAAAGGAUUAUCUUGAUAGGGUAAAUUAAAUGAUUUUUUCAUUAUUACUA
rnacentral:tRNA from 1 species